UCAGGACGAACGCUGGCGGCGUGCCUAAUACAUGCAAGUCGAACGCUUCUUUUUCCACCGGAGCUUGCUCCACCGGAAAAAGAGGAGUGGCGAACGGGUGAGUAACACGUGGGUAACCUGCCCAUCAGAAGGGGAUAACACUUGGAAACAGGUGCUAAUACCGUAUAACAAUCGAAACCGCAUGGUUUUGAUUUGAAAGGCGCUUUCGGGUGUCGCUGAUGGAUGGACCCGCGGUGCAUUAGCUAGUUGGUGAGGUAACGGCUCACCAAGGCCACGAUGCAUAGCCGACCUGAGAGGGUGAUCGGCCACAUUGGGACUGAGACACGGCCCAAACUCCUACGGGAGGCAGCAGUAGGGAAUCUUCGGCAAUGGACGAAAGUCUGACCGAGCAACGCCGCGUGAGUGAAGAAGGUUUUCGGAUCGUAAAACUCUGUUGUUAGAGAAGAACAAGGAUGAGAGUAACUGUUCAUCCCUUGACGGUAUCUAACCAGAAAGCCACGGCUAACUACGUGCCAGCAGCCGCGGUAAUACGUAGGUGGCAAGCGUUGUCCGGAUUUAUUGGGCGUAAAGCGAGCGCAGGCGGUUUCUUAAGUCUGAUGUGAAAGCCCCCGGCUCAACCGGGGAGGGUCAUUGGAAACUGGGAGACUUGAGUGCAGAAGAGGAGAGUGGAAUUCCAUGUGUAGCGGUGAAAUGCGUAGAUAUAUGGAGGAACACCAGUGGCGAAGGCGGCUCUCUGGUCUGUAACUGACGCUGAGGCUCGAAAGCGUGGGGAGCAAACAGGAUUAGAUACCCUGGUAGUCCACGCCGUAAACGAUGAGUGCUAAGUGUUGGAGGGUUUCCGCCCUUCAGUGCUGCAGCUAACGCAUAAGCACUCCGCAUGGGAAGUA
rnacentral:rRNA from 1 species